rnacentral:rRNA from 1 species
AGAGUUUGAUCCUGGCUCAGGAUGAACGCUAGCUAUAGGCUUAACACAUGCAAGUCGAGGGGAAACGGCAUUAUGUGCUUGCACAUUUUGGACGUCGACCGGCGCACGGGUGAGUAUCGCGUAUCCAACCUUCCCUCCACUCGGGGAUACCCCGUUGAAAGACGGCCUAAUACCCGAUGUUGUCCACAUAUGGCAUCUGACGUGGACCAAAGAUUCAUCGGUGGAGGAUGGGGAUGCGUCUGAUUAGCUUGUUGGUGCGGGUAACGGCCCACCAAGGCUACGAUCAGUAGGGGUUCUGAGAGGAAGGUCCCCCACAUUGGAACUGAGACACGGUCCAAACUCCUACGGGAGGCAGCAGUGAGGAAUAUUGGUCAAUGGACGGAAGUCUGAACCAGCCAAGUAGCGUGCAGGAUUGACGGCCCUAUGGGUUGUAAACUGCUUUUGUUGGGGAGUAAAGUGAGGCACGUGUGCCUUUUUGCAUUUACCCUUCGAAUAAGGACCGGCUAAUUCCGUGCCAGCAGCCGCGGUAAUACGGAAGGUCCAGGCGUUAUCCGGAUUUAUUGGGUUUAAAGGGAGUGUAGGCGGUCUGUUAAGCGUGUUGUGAAAUUUAGGUGCUCAACAUCUACCUUGCAGCGCGAACUGGCGGACUUGAGUGCACGCAACGUAUGCGGAAUUCAUGGUGUAGCGGUGAAAUGCUUAGAUAUCAUGACGAACUCCGAUUGCGAAGGCAGCGUACGGGAGUGUUACUGACGCUUAAGCUCGAAGGUGCGGGUAUCGAACAGGAUUAGAUACCCUGGUAGUCCGCACGGUAAACGAUGGAUGCCCGCUGUUAGCGCCUGGCGUUAGCGGCUAAGCGAAAGCAUUAAGCAUCCCACCUGGGGAGUACGCCGGCAACGGUGAAACUCAAAGGAAUUGACGGGGGCCCG